rnacentral:tRNA from 2 species
GCAAAAGUAGUUUAGAAAGAAUAUAAAGUUGUCAUCUUUAAGGGGCCAAAGUGGUCUUUUGUU